CAAUUUAUUAUUAUGGAAUAUCUUUUCAAAUACCUACGACGAUCCUUCGCAAGUAGUCGAAUAAGCGACAUCCGAAUAUGGGUUACGCGGCCUGACCAGAAACUUUGCUGACACCCGAAUACGGGUGUCGUGGCGGUCAACGUGUUAAGACAUUAUACUAACCCUG